rnacentral:rRNA from 1 species
GAUGAACGCUGGCGGCGUGCCUAACACACGCAAGUUGAGCGAUUCACUUCGGUGAAGAGCGGCGGACGGGUGAGUAACGCGUGGGUAACCUGCCUCAUACACAUGGAUAACAUACCGAAAGGUAUGCUAAUACAAGAUGAUAUAAGAGAUUCGCAUGGAUUUCUUAUCAAAGCUCCGGCGGUAUGAGAUGGACCCGCGUCUGAUUAGCUAGUUGGUAAGGUAACGGCUUACCAAGGCGACGAUCAGUAGCCGACCUGAGAGGGUGAUCGGCCACAUUGGAACUGAGACACGGUCCAAACUCCUACGGGAGGCAGCAGUGGGGAAUAUUGCACAAUGGGCGAAAGCCUGAUGCAGCAACGCCGCGUGAGCGAUGAAGGCCUUCGGGUCGUAAAGCUCUGUCCUCAAGGAUGAUAAUGACGGUACUUGAGGAGGAAGCCCCGGCUAACUACGUGCCAGCCGCCGCCGUAAAAC